AAUAACACGAAUUAUUUAUUUGAGGAAAAGUUAUAUAUAUGGGCCAAUCCUACAACUUUACUGCAUAAAACGUGUGACCACUAACAGAAAAAGAGGAAGGUUACAGGGGUUAUUUUUGCCCUUGGUAACUUCUACUGUUCUUGGCUCUUGUGAACAAAGAAUUGACUUGUUGAUUGUUAUUGGUAAAGGUAGAAUUUAACCUUGCUAGCUGUGAUGAAUCUUGAGGUGCAGGUAAUAUAGACGAGCAGACUAUAAUCUAGGCCAUUUUAUUCCAGAUGCUGAUUGGUGAGCUCCACUCUUGAUUGUGGAGUUUCUCUUCUUUCAUCAACUUCAUUCACUUAUUUCUUUUUUCAGUAUUUGCUUGGGGAUUAGCCAGGAAAUCUAUGUCCUGUGCAUUCCUGUUAGCACUCUAGUAGAGGCUUCAUAGACGUAUUUUUAGUUGGGUUAUGUUUGGUCAUGUUACUUUGAAUUAUUUUAAGGGUAAUUUGAACUGGUGUUCUAAUAAGAGAUUUUUCAUGUA